rnacentral:lncRNA from 1 species
ACUGUUGCAAGGCCAUUAGAAGUAUCAGCUGCUGAAGGUGCAGGUUUGCCUGUUGCUGGUCUUACAGCUCACCAGGCACUCACACAGUCGGCUGGGGUCAAGCUUGAUGGAAGUGGCCAGCAAGUAAACCUCUUGAUUACUGCUGCUUCAGGUGGUGUAGGUCAAUAUGCAGUUCAACUAGCAAAGUUUGGAAACACCCAUGUGACAGCCACUUGUGGGGCUCGCAAUCUGGAUUUCGUCAAAAGCCUCGGAGCAGAUGAGGUUCUUGACUACAGAACUCCCGACGGUGCAGCUCUAAAAAGCCCUUCGGGUCGCAAAUAUGAUGCAGUGAUCCACUGUGCAAUGGGCAUUCCUUGGUCUACCUUUGAACCUAAUCUAAGUUCAAACGGGAAGGUAAUCGAUAUAACCCCAGGUCCUAGUGCUCUGCUAACUUUUGCUAUGAAAAAGCUUACCUUCUCAAAGAAGAACCUGGUACCACUGCUAUUGUCACCUAAGAAGGAGAACCUCGAAUAUCUCGUUAACUUAGUGAAAGAUAAGAAGCUUAAGACGGUAAUUGAUUCAAAGCAUCCCUUAAGUAAGGCUGAAGAAGCAUGGGCUAAGAGCAUUGAUGGCCAUGCCACUGGUAAGAUCAUUGUGGAGCCUUAAUCUAAUGAAAUAUUAAUUUAUACUUAAUACAGUGAUGCUUGAAGGACAUAUUGCUUGUUUGUAUAAUUAGGAUUUUUGCACUUUGAAAUUUAUGUUUAUGGAAUGUUUGGUUAAUAUAUUGCAAAAUUUUCUUAACGGUUGUAAGCUUCGAAUUCACAAAUUUAGCUCUGCUUUUAUAUGGCUCCUGCUUCUCCUUGCUUUUCUUGGUUGAUAAUUUGAACAAUGAAAUGUUGUUGGAAGUUGGACUAUCUUGUGUUUUUUUUCCCGGUUAAUGGUUAUUUUUCCUUGUAAUAUCGUUUUUAAAGUUCAAAUUUGCAAUAUUUCUUUGAUAGGUGUCUCUUAUCAAUACAUUUAAUACUUGUUGGUAUUUGUAUACUUUUUUAUUGAGUUAAUAUUUCAAUUUUUUUUAAAAAUUAAAAUUUUGCUUUAAGUUUAAUUUUGUCAAUUUUAUUUAGUUCUAAAAUAUUUAAAAAUGAUUAAAUUAUUUUUUUUAUUGUAACACAUUAAUUUUGAUUUUUAUGGUUGUCAAUUAAAUUGACCUUGGGACAUUAAAUUAUUCAUCAGUUCAAAUUAUAUCCUUAAUUCAUUUGUAGAGUUUUUAAAAAUAAUAUCUGGAAUAAUUAUUUUUUAAUUACAUAUUGGGCAUCUGUUACCUUCUCAUCAGUUUGUACUGAUGAUUAAGAAUCAUGCAAUCUAUAGUUGAUGUACGCGAUUCAAUCAAAAUUUAUCAUCAUAGUUCAUGCAUUGACUAAUCAUUUCAACUGAUUUUUUUAGCCUUGAGCAUAAUAAAUUGUUGGUCAAAUUUUACUUGUUUGUACUUGUAGUAUGCCUAAGGCAUGAGUUUAAUUUAUAAAUUUUUUGAAUUGAUUUGUUUUAGUUAUUAUAUUUUCUAAAUUUUAAAAUUUCAGCACAAUUGAGAUGAUAAUAAUUAAAUUUAUUUUGAUUAAAUUUUAUUUUAAUUUUAUAUUAUGUAUAAAGUUGUAAAUUUUACCCAUAUUCUCUUAUUCAGUAAACCUUAGUUUUUUAAAAUUUGAAAUUUUAGUCUUGAUGUAAAUGAUAAUCAUUAAAUUUAUUAAUUGAUUUUUUAUGGGUGAUAUGUUAAAAUAACAAGUUAACAUAUCAUAAUAUAUUUGUCGCAUAAAAUCUUAAAAAUAAUAUAACGUAAUUUAACUGUUGUUGUUUAGUUAAGAUUUUGAAAAAUAAAUAUUCAAAAUCAAACAAGUUAAAGUAAAAAACUAGACACACAGCUUAUAUAUAUAUAGUACAAUAAUAAAUAGUAUAAAUAAAUUUAAACUAUUAAAAAUUAUUAGAUUUCGUCGUAAGGGUGAAAAAUGUAUGUAAUAAAUAUAAUAACAAAAAAUAGUUUUGGAUGAAGUGAUAAAGUUAAAAGACUAAAAAUCAUAAUGUUCUGAGUUUAAAUCUCAUUAUUAUGCCUAUCUAUUUUUUAAAAUUUUAUAUGUAAAAGGAUAAAAUUACCUUUAAAAUUAUAUUUAGUAUAGAUUAAAAUGAGAAGUUUUUAUAUGAAAUAUUGACAGAUGUAGCGUAGAGCAGGUUGAACUUUGGGCGAUUUGCGAUGGACUCCUUUUGACGUGGGUGUUUAUAUGAAAUAAUUUUAUAAUUGAUUCCAGUUUUUUUAUUUAAAGAAAAUGAGAAAUUUUUAAUAAAUUUAUUAUUGAGUUGGUGACUCGAUUGCGAUAGAUACUAAUAUAAUAAAAUACUUAAAUAUUGUAAUAGACGGUAAUAGAUAAUAGAUAAAUAUUUUCCAAAUAUGAAAUAAAUAAUACAACUUGAGCAGCUACCAAAUUCAACAUUUCAAUAGAUUUCUUGCAAAAUCAUCCAGGGUAUAUCCGUCAAAUUAACAAUGUGGUCUCCAUUUGUUUAUAUACGCCAUUCAUCGAACUUCAUUUUUUCUUAUAAAAAGAAGCUUCGGUUUGAUCUCUUUUAGUGAAAGAAAUGGCUGAAACUCUUAUGCAUGCUUUACAAUGUGACAGCUAUGGCGGAGGCGCUGCUGCUUUGAAGGUAAAAAUCUACUUCAUUAUGAUGAUCUAUUUUGCUUGCUUUUACUUUUUUCUUACUGUUUUAUCAUAUAAGUUUAGUUCCUUUUUUUAGUGGAGACUUCAAUUAAGGUUGUUAAUCUAGUGUUUACAUUGAUCUAAGUUUGCUCUUCGGAUUCAAAAUUCGAUUCGUUUAACUUGUGAUUGAAGAAAGCAUGAAUAUUAUUUCAAUGAGUGCCGUGAGUUACUAAGGAAUUGGAAUUUUCUGGAACGGAAAUGAACUAUAGGGAAUUUGCUAUUCGGAAUUAAAAUUUCACGACAAGGAUAUGAGAUUGUGAGGUUGACUUGAUGGAGAAGUUAAGUGUUGACCGAUUUUAUUGUCGGAUUCAAAAUUUUAUUUGUUAAAUUUGUGAUUGAAAGCAUAUAGAUAAUUUGAAUGAGUACUCCGAUGCACUAGGGUUCUGGAAUUUUCUGGAAUUGAAGUAAAUUAAGUAUUUGCUCUUUGGAAUUAAAAAUUCCAAAAAGAUCUGUGACUUAUGGGCUAAGAGUUGAUAGUGAAGUUAAGUGUUAACUGAUUUUAUCGUCGGAUUCAAAAUUCUAUUAGUUAAAAAAUUGUGAUUGAAAGCACAUUCUGGAACGGAAGUAAAUAAGGAUUUGCUCUUGGAAGAGAUCUGAGACCGAGAGGUUGAUAGGUUGAUACUCGUUUUUUUUUUUUUAAAUUUAAUCGGCGUGCUUUAUUAAUACCACAAAACAAGACAAAAUUGGUUGUUUGGAAAACUCCACCCACAGCAACACUAAACCACCAAAAACAAACAAUUAAAACAAAAUAAAUUUUUUAUAUGGACCUGCUGGAUAUAAACUUGAAAAGAAAUUUUACCAGUGACUUGAUGUCAUAACAGCUUUGAAUUUUUUGUGCUUGUUACAGCAUGUUGAAGUUCCAAUACCCACUCCAAAUAAAGAUGAAAUGUUGCUUAAACUGGACGCAAUUAGUCUAAACCCAGUUGACUGGAAAAUACAGGAAGGGGUGCUUCGCCCAUUUUUACCUAGAAAAUUCCCCUGCAUACCUGGUAGUUUAUAUAUUUUGUUCUUUUUCUUGAGACUUUCUUUUUGUCAAUGAUGUUUGAACCGGAUCAGACUGGCCAGUUAGACCAGGAAUUGGCCUAGGUAUCGGUCCGGAGAAUGACUUUGAACAGAUACGGACCAGUUGAACCUACGGUUGGAUUGGAAACUAGUCAUCGGUUUAGAGAAUGGCUUUGAACUGGUUUUGAUCGGGAACCAGUACUGACCAGUUCAACAGAUUAAAAAACUAGUUGAACCGAGUUUUUUGAGUUUUUGAGUUUUUUUAAUUGAACCAAUCGAAUUGAUCGCAUCAGCGAACGAGUGGCCUGGUUUCUAAAACACUAUUGUUAAGUAUAUCUCAAGUUACGUGAGUCUUCACAAUCUGUUUUUGUUGUAUUACUAUGUUGAAUUCCCUAGCAGGGCUUUCUAAAAAUUUUACUUAGUAUCUGCCGGAUUAUUGAACUUGUAAUCUAAUUUGCGUCGAUUUACAUUGUGGAGUUUGCUUUAGAGGUAACUAUUGAUGGGAAAAAAAUGUGUCUAUUUAACUCAAGUUAUCAUUAAAGGACAGAAUUUGUCUAUCUGUUAAGGCAUAUCCUUUUUCUAUAAUUAACCAACAUAAUAAUAAGCUGGUUGGCAGGUCUCGUAGUUUAAGCAGUUGUGGUUAUUGAUGGUAAUUUUUGGCACCCUCUUGUCAUGGAAGAUUUGAUAUCUCAAAUAUUUUUUUUUUGCAGCUAGUGAUGUAGCAGGAGAAGUCGUAAAGGUUGGACCAGGAGUUACAAAUUUCAAAGCUGGGGAUAAAGUUGUAGCUACGCUUCAUCAUUUUGUAAGUUCUCGUUCUCAUUCUUAAUCCCCCCCCUCCCCAAGUCAGCAUAAAAAGUCUGGCCUGUAGGCUUAGUUUUCAGAAUCAGAUAGGUGGUUGAACUGAUGAUACCACCAUUUUGAUUAAAUAAUUAAUUAAAAAAUAUAUAAAAUAAAAAAUCUGAUUUAAGCGGUCCAACCAAUCCGUAUUGAUUCCUGAGUUAAAAGGUUCAAAGCCUUCUUCCGGAUAGGUACUCUAGCUGGAUCUUGGCCCAACGGUCGGAUCGGCUGGUCUAAUCUGGUUCAAACAAUCUUGCCGGCAUGUCAUUAAUCAUUCUGAGAACAAUCAGAAGGAGAUUUCUUCUUCAAGAGUGGAAGAAUCACCGGUAUUUUACUAGCUUAAUGGAUCACAAUUUGAAAAACAGUCAAUGAUAUUUGUAUUUUUGGUAUUAGCUCGAGUAAUUAAUUGGGCGUUGAGCUUGGUAGGACUUUAGGCAACAAUUCUUGAGGUAAAAUAUGGAUCUCCUCAUGGCCAAAAGAUCAACUUUUGAAUCCAGCAAUGAUGGAAUGCGCGUAAAUUGUAGCCCCAUAAAAAGAAAUUCCAAGGACUAGUGCUACAUUUUUUGUUCUAAUAAACCAUGUUGGUCUUCCAAUGAGUGAUCUUGAUUAGCUUAGUCAUGAGAACCGCUUAGCAUUGACCUGCUUGCCUGUUUGGAUUAAUCGGUAUCGUGUUUAGAAUGCAACCAUCCUUUGUCUAUGUGACUAUCAUUACUCUCAUUAUCUCGCCAUUUGGCUGAGAGAAACCUAGAUAUCCUUACUGCAGUCCAGUGGUUCAGUGAAUUUAUCUUCUAUUCAUAUUAUCAGCGAAUCAGUAUCAGUUAUUUCGAUUGCUAUGACUAUCUUCUAUAAUGAAUUAUAUUUACAAUGAUAGACCGGAGGUGGACUAGCUGAAUAUGCUGUGGCUAAGGAGAAUCUGACAGUUGCAAGGUCACCAGAAGUAUCAGCUGCCGAAGGUGCAGGUUUGCCUGUUGCUGGUCUCACAGCUCACCAGGCACUCACCCAGGCAGCUGGGGUCAAGCUUGACGGAAGUGGCCAGCAAGUAAACCUCUUGAUUACUGCUGCUUCAGGUGGUGUAGGUCAUUACGCAGUUCAACUAGCAAAGCUUGGAAACACACAUGUAACAGCCACUUAUGGGGCUCGUAAUCUGGAUUUUGUCAAAAGCCUUGGAGCACGAGGUUCUUGACUACAAGACUCCCGACGGGGCGGCUCUAAAAAGCCCUUCGGGUCGCAAAUAUGAUGCAGUGAUCCACUGUGCAGCGGGCAUUCCUUGGUCUAC